UACGAAGGGGGCUAGCGUUGUUCGGAUUUACUGGGCGUAAAGCGCACGUAGGCGGAUCGUUAAGUCGGGGGUGAAAUCCUGGAGCUCAACUCCAGAACUGCCUUCGAUACUGGCGAUCUCGAGUCCGGAAGAGGUGAGUGGAACUCCUAGUGUAGAGGUGGAAUUCGUAGAUAUUAGGAAGAACACCAGUGGCGAAGGCGGCUCACUGGUCCGGUACUGACGCUGAGGUGCGAAAGCGUGGUGAGCAAACAGG
rnacentral:rRNA from 1 species